rnacentral:rRNA from 1 species
UACGGGGGGGGCAAGCGUUGUUCGGAAUUACUGGGCGUAAAGGGCUCGUAGGCGGCCCUCUCAGUCGGAUGUGAAAUCCCCAGGCUUAACCUGGGAAUGGCAUCCGAUACUGGAGGGCUUGAAUUCGGGAGAGGGAUGCAGAAUUCCAGGUGUAGCGGUGAAAUGCGUAGAUAUCUGGAGGAACACCGGUGGCGAAGGCGGCAUCCUGGACCGACACUGACGCUGAGGCGCGAAAAGCUAGGGUAGCAAACGGG